rnacentral:rRNA from 1 species
AUAUCAGUCAUGCAUAGCAUAUCAAUAAGCGGAGGAAAAGAAACUAACAAGGAUUCCCUUAGUAACGGCGAGUGAAGCGGGAAGAGCUCAAAUUUGAAAUCUUCAAGGUUCUACCUUGACGAAUUGUAGUUUAUAGAAGUGUUUUCUGUUAGUAGGAGUGGCAAAAGUUCUUUGGAAUAGGACAUCAUAGAGGGUGAGAAUCCCGUAUUUGGUCAUUCCUUCUAGCGUUGUGAUACACUUUCAACGAGUCGGAUUGUUUGGGAAUGCAGUCCAAAAUGGGUGGUAAAUUUCAUCUAAAGCUAAAUAUUGGCGAGAGACCGAUAGCGAACAAGUACCGUGAGGGAAAGAUGAAAAGAACUUUGAAAAGAGAGUUAAACAGUACGUGAAAUUGUCAAAAGGGAAGCGUUUGACACCAGUGUUGUUUUUCCGAAAAUCAAUUACGAAUGUUUUAUUUUUGAGGAGUUAUGACUUCAUCGGCUUGCUCCUUUCUUUACUGAAACUUUCUUAAUGCACUUUUCGGUUAACAAGUCAACAUCAAUUUCUUUUGUUGUAAAAGGGUAUGAGGAAGGUGGCUUCCUUUUCGGAGAAAGUGUUUAUAGCCUUGUGCCUCUGCAAUCGGAGAGAUUGAGGUCUGCAGCGUAGAUCCUUCGGGGUUAGAUACAGUUUGUGCUAAGUUAUAGCCUUUCAGUAGACAACUUGUUGACUAUGAUUCAGUCAUGUAGCUUACUCGCUGAUGUCAUUUUACCUACGCUUAGGAUGUUGAUGUGAUACUGCGAGC